UACGAAGGGGGCUAGCGUUGUUCGGAAUCACUGGGCGUAAAGGGCGCGUAGGCGGCUUUAUAAGUCGGGGGUGAAAGCCUGUGGCUCAACCACAGAAUUGCCUUCGAUACUGUAGAGCUUGAGACCGGAAGAGGUAAGUGGAACUGCGAGUGUAGAGGUGAAAUUCGUAGAUAUUCGCAAGAACACCAGUGGCGAAGGCGGUUGCCUGGAGCUUUGCUGACGCUGAGGCGCGAAAGCGUGGGGAGCGAUCCGG
rnacentral:rRNA from 1 species